rnacentral:rRNA from 1 species
CGGACGGGUGAGUAACACGUGGAUAACCUACCUAUAAGACUGGGAUAACUUCGGGAAACCGGAGCUAAUACCGGAUAAUAUAUUGAACCGCAUGGUUCAAUAGUGAAAGACGGUUUUGCUGUCACUUAUAGAUGGAUCCGCGCUGCAUUAGCUAGUUGGUAAGGUAACGGCUUACCAAGGCAACGAUGCGUAGCCGACCUGAGAGGGUGAUCGGCCACACUGGAACUGAGACACGGUCCAGACUCCUACGGGAGGCAGCAGUU